rnacentral:lncRNA from 1 species
GGCCAAUGACAUACUGAAUAAGAAAGAGAAUUUACAUUGCUGAUAAGAAUUUGUAAUAUUAUAUACAUUUGAAGGCAUCAGGGAUAAUCGAAUUACUCUUGUACUUGAUUGCUAAGGCCUACUACGUUCUAAAGCAAAAUUAUAUAUGUUUUUGAGUACAAAUACUUGUAAGUUUUCCACCUUUUGUCCUUACUAUUAUAGAGAGGACAUUGACCAAGUACCAACGCACAAUUAUCCGUAGACUCUUAGGACCAAAGUAGAGGUCAACUAGGGAUUAAGCAGUACAAUAUUGCUCGUCAUUAAAUCCUAGUGUCACUCCUAGCCCAUUCCAUGCAAAUUAAAUGGCUUCACUAUUCCUGCUAACGUCCUUCUUCAACUGUAAUCGUCACCUGAUUGUUGGAUACAAUGUAUUUCUUAUCGGAGGAAGAAGAAGAUGUGCUAGAAGCAUGUGUCCUUAUUACAAAAGCUGGUCUAUUAGGUGUUGGAAGGUUAGCACCUUCCCCUCCCAGCAUUAAAAUGACAUCUGACAUAUUAGGACGAUGAUUUGGAUCAUCUUGUACACACAGGAGCGCAAUAUUUAUGCACUUUAUUGCUUCACUUCUGUUGCAUGAUUCAAGUAAUGACUUCUCUAUUAAUUGUGUCUCAGCUUUUUCUGUCCACAAUUUCCAUGCCUGAGAUAAUUUUUCUAUCAGAGAAACAAAGCUAAGAAGAAGAUAUAAUAAUUAAGUCAUGGGAAGUUUCUUCACUUACAUAGCCCAACAAGUUUAAGGCUUCUUCUGACUGAUAAAAUCCAGUAUUCCUUCUCCCACUGAUUAUCUCAAGUACGACUACUCCGAAACUGAAUACAUCUGAUUUGAUGGAAAACAAUCCAUCCAAUGCAUAUUCUGGAGACAUAUAGCCACUAGAUUUCACCAGGUCAACAAAACAUUAUGUAUAAGAUUUUCUCCCAAGCUCCUUUUGUAAGAAAUUAAUGACAGGAAAGAAUAUUAUACUUACUAGGUCCCCACUAUGAAUAUUAUACUUACUAGGUGCCCACUAUUUUCUUUGUAUUUGCUUCUGUUACUUUUCCUUCAACAAUCCUUGCCAAGCCAAAAUCUGAAAUUUUCGGGUUCAUCUCCUCAUCUAAUAAAAUGUUACUGGUUUUUAAAUCUCUAUGAAUGAUCCUUAGUCGUGAAUCAUGGUGAAGAUAAGAUAGACCCCGUGCAAUGCCCAAUAUGAUGUCAUAACGUUUUUUCCAAUCCAAUAAUUGACAAAGUGCUCCAUCUUGCAUCAUAACCAUGAAAAAAUUUGGUAGGUCAAUAAAAUUAGAUCAUUAUAAGAAAUGUAAGACUUUGAGAAUAAGGAACUUAAUAAGGCUAACUCACCAAAUAUGAAUGUAUCUAAACUUUUAUUCGGCAUAUAUUCAUAAAGUAGUAUUUGUUCCGUUGCAUUGAUGCAAUAGCCCAAUAGCCUCACCAGAUUUCGAUGUUGAAGCUUUGCAAUUAGAGUCACUUCAUUCUUAAAUUCAUCUAUGCCUUGUCCUGAUUGACUGGAUAACGUUUUUACUGCAAUUUCCUUUUCACCCGGAAAGAUACCCUGCAAGAUUUUUUCAUCUCAUUACUAUAGGUCAAUGCGGUCAUGCCAGUCCACAUAGAUGUAGGAAUGAAGUUUUAACCUUGUAAACAGGACCAAAUCCUCCUUGUCUGAGCUUAUUUGCAUUUGAGAAGUUGUCUGUAGCAGCCAAAAUGGUCUCCAAGUGAAAGUAUGGAACAUCAAUAGCUUCAUCACUGUUUUCUUUCAUCAACACUUUCGCUUCUCCUUCAGCUUUGUGCCAAAGAGAUAUAUGUGCCCCUUGAGUACCUUUACUUUUAUCUGAUUGAGAAUGACCUUUGAAAUUAAGUUCAAAAUGGUAUAAAAGAAAAUAUCUUCCAGAGUAAGAUUCAUUCAUCAAAUACCUGCUUUUUUUGCCAUCCUUCUUCUAUAGUAAAUGUAGCAAAAGCUGGCUAUGAGUAGAAUCAUCAAAGCUAUUAUGGACGAAAGAAUUGCUUUUAGCUUCAUCAAUUUCUUAGCUUUAGUUUGAUCUGAAAGUAGAAAGCCAAAACCAUGUCAGAUAUAUUAACAUCUAUCUUGAAGGACUUUGAUGCAAAUAUUCAUUGGACCUCAGAACCUAUCAUUAAUACUCUUUAAGAAUUCUUUUCUGGCUUAAGUUUUACUUUGCUCAACCAACUCCUCAACACAGGAAAAAGAAAAGGAGAAUCAUUGUUGUUAAGUGCUGGUACCAAGAGAAAGCGAAAUGGAAAGGACGACACCAAGCAGGAUAUUGUUAGCAAUCUGCAUGCAUAGAAGGUCCUGGGUGGGAGAUUUUUUUACCCCAGGAUCCUUAAGAAACCUGGAAUGAACUCGUUGGCGGAUCUAGUGGAGAUUCAAUCAUGGACUCACCUGUUCAUGACUAAAUCUCAUGUAAUGCAUGAAGACCAAGUAAUGGAGUUCUAUUACAAUGUGGAGUUCAAUGAGGAUGGAAGUCUUUAUACUUUGGUGGGAGAUAAAAUGAUGCAUCUAAAUGAGGAGCUGUUGGGAGAGAUUCUAGAGGUACCUAGAGAAGGGAUCAGGUCCGUGGUUGGAAAACUUUACACUCAACACUUUGCCAAUGAGUGCUCUAAGCUUCCGCAUCGUGCAGGUAUUCAGAAAAAGCUUAUGAAAGGGGAAUACUAAUUGUUGUUUGAGUUUGUGAACAAGGUGGUUCUUUCUCGAUCUGAGAAGCGUAUAGUUGCCAAUUCAGCAGAUUUAUUCCUAAUGGAAUCUAUCUGCAAGUUCGACCCAUUGAAUCUGCCAGCACUCAUGUUGGAACACAUGCACAAAACGGUGAUAGAACGUAAAGGCAAGCAUGGAAUGAGAUAUGGAUACUUUCUCAUAAAAGUGUUCGAUCAUCUGAAAGUUUCACUGGGACCAGGUACUGUUGGCACAGUUAAACAAUCAAUUUCUCUCAAUACCUUAGUCGAGUGUGAGUGCAUCGAGGGUCAAAUAAGACGACUAAGUAAAAUGUCUCACUUAGUGGCUGAACGAGAUUAACUGAAGCGUGAACUGGAGGAACUAACAACACUUGUUCAGAAAAAGGAUGCUGAAAUGGCACUAUUGAAGGCAUAACUGGCCAAAGCUCAGUCUGAAGGACCUGGUACUGAAGAGGUCAAAGAGUUACGUCUGAAAAAUACAGCCCUUCUGACUCAAACUGCUGAUGUUCAAGAAAGGUUGAUCAAAGCUCAUGACUCUACCAAUGACCGACUUACCUUUGUCAUCAGAUCUCUCACUCAUCUGCCUCCUUCCUCCUAAUUAUCUCCAUCUUUUGUCCUUGCCUGUUUUUUUUGUGUGGGCAGUGUCCCGGGUUCUCUUUAGCAGUUUAUUGUCAAUGUAUUGAAUGUUUACUUUGUGCAAUGAAAAGGACUUCUGUUUUGUUGUGAUGUCUUCCAGUCUAAUUCUUUUUCUAUGAUGUGUUGCUCAAAGCUAUGGUCUUUCUAUGCAUGCUUACUUUUAAUCUUGGUUUACUGUCUCUCUUUUUUAUGAUGCCAAAAGGAGGAAUAAUGGGUGCCUUAUAGACAUGGGGAAGCGGAUAAUGAAGAGGAUAUAACAUUAUGAGUUUGUCAUCAUCAAAAAGGGGGAAAAUGUUAUUUGAAGUUUUGAUGAUUUGACAAACAGAGGACCUUGUAAGGGGAUCUGAUCCCCGUCAUUCAUAUCCGUACAAUUGACAGUUGGAAAAAGUACACAAGUUUGGUGCACGGUCUCCAAGUGUGGCAGAAACCUCAGUCAAUCGCAUUGCCUUGAAGGUUGUGUCUAUUCUCAUAAGGACUUCCACACACAUACACAACCUCAGUUUUUGCAAUAUAGAUUUUUAGAGCAAAAAGGCAAAAACCACUCUCUCAAGAAGUACUUACCAAAGAGCAACAAGGACCAUAUAGAGCAACUUGUAUCUUAGUUGUCUUAGGUUUUUACUUCAGUUCUUAUCGUUGUAAAUCUAAUCCUAAACUAUAAAGGAAUUAGAUCUUUUGUCAGUUCGUCUAAAAGUCUAAACCAGUUGUGUCUAACUGGUUUAGUGGGCAACAUUGUUCGUUGCUUAGUCAAAUCCUAAGUCAUCUAGUGUUAGGUGGGUUAGUGGGCAACCGUGGGUUGCUUAGUGAAUUCUAAGUUAUCUUGUGUCAGGUAGCUUAGUGGGCAAUUGUGAUAUUGCUUAGUUGCUCUAUUUGUAGUGGAAAUACUACUUUUACGGGGAAGGGAUUUAGAGGUAAAUUCCUAGGUUGCAAGUUGUUGUAAUCUGAAUCGUUGCUCUAUUUAGAAGAAAUGGAGUUUGGUUUGAAAAGUUUGUGAGGACAGGUCGUAGUUUUCACCGCCCUUAGAGCAAGGGGGUUUCCACGUUAAGUGCUUGCGUUGUUUUUGUUGUUUUACUUGUCUUACUGUUGUUGCUUGCAUUAUUGUUCUUAACGUGUCAAGGGACCUGGUCCAUUGACUUUUAGUGGACGCCUGUAUUCUAACACACUUGAUGGUGUGUUUCAAGUGUUUGUAACUCGAUAUGGUAUGAUCAAUAUUGUCUUUAAAGUAUUUAUUUCCCAAAUUGGUAUAUACUGUUCUGAUUUGCAAAUUGGAAAUACACUUAAUCAGAAACGGUUUCAAAAUAUAUAAAUGUGUCUUUUAAUUUUGUCCUCCAACUUUGGGUAUAUAUAUGUACAAGUAGAUACUUAAACUAGUAUAAAGUUAAACAAAUAGACACAUGAGUCUUAAGUGGCAUAAUACACAUAAGACACCAUGUAGAACACAAAUUGUCAUAUAGGAUAUUAGGUAGGACGUAUCCGUCUAUUUGUUCAACUUUAUACAAGUUUAAGUGUGUACUUAUGCAAAACCAAUGUUGAAAGGCAUAUGUAAAAUGAAGACAAAUUAAAUAACAUAUUUAUAUAUAAUACCAUAACAACUUCACAACUAGGUUCAUAAUCAAAUAAUUAUAAUAUCUAGUAAAAUAUUAAAAUAUAUAUAAAACCUAAACAAAAACUACUAGAUUUACGUGAAUCUAGAAAUAAUAUUAUUAUAAUUAGUUCAGUUUUUUCAAAAAAUUAUAUAUCGAACAUUAGAACAUGUUUUUAAUUUUUUUUUUUUUUUUUUGCAGAUCAACAACAUGUUGUUGGUCCAAAGAAAAUUGGGGUAUGUAUCGACCCACCUCCUUGUGGAUCUGACUGUGAGUGUGAUAAAUCACCUUGUGGUCACAGAUGUUUGAGGGAUGUGUGGGGUCUUCGUUUCUGUCGCUUUUAAUAUUGUAUGCCAUGGCAUGGAACUUUUAUGUUUUUCUUAAUCGGAAUAAAAUUGUGUGUAUUUGGAAAUUUGUAAUCGCAAAUAUUUAAUUAUUAAUGGAAAAUAAAGAUUUGUGAUUUAUCAAUGUAAUGUCUUAUGAUAUUGUUUACCAAAAAAAUGGUGCAGCUAAAUUUGUAUGAGUCAAGAAUACAUGUUUUAGCUUAAUUCAUAAGAUCUGGUUAUUAGCAAUUGAAUAUUUAUAACAAAAAAUAAUGGCCUCUGUGCAUGGUCCGUUCAAUUAUAAGACCAUUAAAGUAAAGCGGAAUACAUAAAUAGACCCCUAAACUUGUUCGAUUUUUCCUCUCAGGCACCUCAACUAUGCUACCUUCCUAUUGAAUCUCUGAACCAUCUAUAAUUUGUACCUUUUAAACAUUAUUGGCUGGCAUGGCACAAAACUUCAACAAAUAUUUUUUGUUGAUUGUGCGCGUGAAAUCCACCUUUCCCAUGUGGAAAGUGCAACCAAUCAAAAUACUCAAACUGUUGAAACAAUUUACACAUCAGUCAAUCUUGCCAAAAUAAAAAUCCAAAUAAAACCUAGAAAACCAAAACAUUUCAAUAGUUUCAAUAGUUCAACCCAAAUAACUCUAAGAAUGGAUGCUUCAAUAGUUCCUUUGUUGUUGCCCUUCUGAAUGGAGUUCUCUUAAAAGUGAUAGUACUAAAAACUUCUCAUGAACUCUUUUGGAAAUCGGUGUUUCCUCUCAUCUUAAAUGUAAAAACAUUUACUCUUGGGAAUACUUAGUUCCCAUAUAUCAUUUUAAAGAAAAUGAACUCAACUCUGCUCUUCCUCAAACUCAAAUGCUCAAGUCUUAAAAUAAGUUUUAAAACAAUGUAAAAGACUUCUCGAAAUGACUCUAAUGAACUCUCAAAACUUGACUCUUAAUUGAAUUAUGAAUUAUGAAUUCAAGAGUUAUGAUUUAUGAUAUGAAGGAUAUCAUGAUGAUUAAAUGAGUUUUAGAUAGUUAAUGAUGAGAAACGGUCGAAGAACACUGUCUGGGGAGCAAGUUCGCAACACGGAGAUGAAUUAUAAUAUUUGGUUGCGAAAUAACUUUUGAAACAGUGGAGUCCGUGUUCUCUCCGUGACGUGGAGAGAGAAAUUUCUCUCUAGGGGAGCAAUUCCGCGACGUGGACUUGGGCGCCAAUUUCAUGCCCGAUUUUUUCUUCUUCUCCCAAACCUGAUUCAACUCGUACCCACUAAAAUUCUAAGGUAAAAACUCUCGAAUUCCUAUAACUCAGAACAAUUCCAGCGGAACUCACUCGAGAACUAUCAAUUUACUCAACCCCUUAACAAAAUCUUCAUCUCAAGAACUCAACCAAACAUCAAGAUUCAAGAAUGAAUAACAACUCAUCAAGAAACUCAUCAAGAACUUAAUUCCUCAAUCUCUAGGGAUGAAUUUGGAAAUGUAAAAAUAUGAUUGGCAUGUGGGUGAACGAACCCAACACUAUGAAAAACUUACAUACCUCGAUUUGGCGAAACAAAUCCUCAAUUUGCACGAACCUUGAUCGUUCUUCCUUUUCUCCUCUUUUCCUCUUCUUGAACUCUCUUCUAAAAUCCUAAGCGGAAUUAGGAUUUGUAAAACUGACUCAAAUCAAAUUUGACCCCAAAAUAAUACUAAAAAUCGUUUUAAUCUGAUUGGGUAAGGAAAAAACCAAAAUACCCCUCAUUAAUUCGGGUAACUUUCCUUAACUGGACAUGCUAACUUCAAACGGGCAUAUCUCCCUCAUACGAGCUUGAAAUUUAGCAAACUCGGUGGCGUUGGAAAGAGGAUUCCAAGACCUUUCAUUUGAUAACUUAUGGGCUACCUAACUCAUCCUGUACUGAAAGUUAUGACCAUUUGAAGUUGAUCCAAAACUCACAACUCAAGCAUAACUUGCAAAAUUUCAAAUUAGUUUCUUUCCAAAUUAAUUCUUUCUAAAUAUAGCUCUUUCUAAGGCAGGAUUAUAUGUAUGUAUAUGAUUUUGUAUGUGUAUAUAUUGUUGGGAAAAGGCAUAGAUUCCCCCUUGAAUUUGUCCCGAAAAGUUAUUUACACGCUUUAACUAUCCUGAUGACCUAUUACACACCUGAUUUUGUUUAAAGUGAUAUUAAUACCCCCUUAAAAGAUGGCAUGGCAAAGAAAGCGUCUUCACCCUCUUUAAGGUGCGUGAGAAGAAGAAAAAAAAAAGUUAAAAUGAUAAAUUUAAACAUGUGAAACUAUCUUAUUGGUCAUUAUAUAAUUAAGUAUUAUAAUUUUUAGUAUAUUAAUUAUGUCAAUAAUCUUUUUUUUUUGUCUUUUUAUUAGUGGCCUCCAAUUUUUUUAAAAGCUUUUACAUUUUUCUUUCUUUUGACUUCUUCUUCUUCAACAGUUCUUCACUUUGUCACCAUUAAUAAGUUCUUCACUUUAUUCCCAUGAAAGCAUAUUCAAACCCUUACAGAAGAACUCUAAAAAGAAAUAGAAAGAAAAUGAUUGUUCUAUCUUCGUCUUCUCUAUUCUUGCCGGCACCUCCAACCAUCACAAUGUCAUUUUUGUCUCAAGCGGCCAUCAAUAGCAUAUUUGAUUAUUCACUAUGCACAAAUAAUACAAAUGAAAUGCUUAAUUUCAUCCAUAAUUAUCGAUAUUUUUAAAGAAAAUUACAGAUUUGAAAGUAAUUUUAUAGAUCUGAAAGUUUUUAUUUGUUUCACUGGCAACAAUGGUGUUGCCCACGGCGUAUCACCGCUACCAACAUCUCCAUACUUCAUAAUCGUCUGACUACUUCCUAUUUUAUCUUCAAAUUUUCUCGUUUCCCCUUCUACUUAUGAAGAAGGAAGAAGAAAUGAAUUUAAAAAAUAAAGAGAUGUAUGGUGUGGGGAGGAAGAACACACACAAAGUAGAAAUUAUUAAGGGAAAAAAGUUAAAAAAUAUAAAAUAAUAUUAUUUCCGUUUUCAUCAAAACGCAUGUAUAACAUUUUCUCACACAAAAUUGAGAUUGUCUUCGGAAGGGGGAAUUAAUAUCAUUUUGAACAAGAUUAGGUGUGUAAUAGGUCGUCAUGACAGUUUAAGCUUGUAAUUGACUUUUCGAGACAAGUUCAAGGGAGAAUUUAUGCCUUUUCCCUAUAUUGUAUAUGCAUAAUAUAUACACAUGAUCUUUAACUUGAUUUCAGUGGAUAAAUAUGAUAUUUAACUUUGUGAGUGCACAAGUAGGUACUUUUACAAUUUAAAACUUGAACACAAAGACUCAAUUUAACCUUUGACGUGCGUGACUUGCAUGAAUUUUAGUAUUUUGCUCCAGAAGAGGUUCGCUUGAGUCACCGGCGAUGUCUCCGGUCAGAUCGAUUGAAGUUCAAUUCUGUCUCUCUUUCUUCUAUUAUUUGUUUGUAUUGAUUGUAAUUGAAGCAAGGAUGGUCUUGAAUGAAUCAUUAAUUUAUCAAUAAGAUAUCUUAAGAGUAAAAUUGGUUCAAUUAAUAUUUGGUUUGGGGGAUUUCGUCCAAUUGAAGGACAUUUGUUAAAUUUCAUAACAAUAAGAGUAAAAUUGGUUUGAUAGUAUAACUAAAGACAAAGUUAACUAAUAAAUGAAAGUAAAAAAGGUAUCUUUGAUCAUUUUUUCCUUUAUCCCUUGUGACUUUGAUUAAAAAGAUAGAAGUAUAUUAUAAAAUGUAUGAGUUUUUAGCCAAAAAUAUUCCUAAACUAUACCCUCAACUUAAACUACAUCCUUAAAUUAUCCUUCUUAACAGAAAAUAUCCCCCAAGUAUUUAAAACUUAACCACUUUCAUCCUUUUGUUAAAGCUUUUUUCACAUAAUUUCAUUAUCCGUUGGAAAAAGCUCCCCCACCAAAAAAAUAAUUAAUUUUUUGAGACAUUUAUUUGCUGAAAAGAAAUAAAGGUAGGAUGGUGUUGCAAAGAGACAUGAUCUACUCUUCUCCUUUAUCAACUUAACGAAGCUGAAGCUUAAUUUCACAUCAUCUUUACCUUCUGUAAAGUCAAAAUGUAAUUAGAUCAACAAUUUUUUGGGCAAUUUGAUGUUUAAAGUGAUCAAGAUUCUGAAUUUCAUAUAUGACACUCGAGUUUUGUUCUCCAUUAUUAAAAGUAAAAGUCUCAAAUCGCCACCAUUUCUUGUAGAUUCAAUGAGAAAAAAAUAUUUCAACUGGUAAUUUUUUAAUAUCAAAUCAAAUGAAAAAUAAAUUAAAACAAAGUUGCUAAUAAAAAGAUCUGCAUAAUGCCAAGUGUUGUUGCAAAAAAGAAUUCACAAUAAUAUUUUAGAUGUAUCACGAAAUGAAGAGAUUUUUUUAAUCUUUAGUGAUUUAGGAAGUUUUGCUGAGAGUAGUAUGAAUUGCACAUAUUUUUGUAUGAAUUCUGUUAAUUUGUGUCAAAUUAUAACAAAAGGAUGGAAGUUGUUAAGUUUAAAAUACUUGAAGGAUUUUUUUGUUAAGAAGUAGAAUAGCAUGGGACAUAAGUUUCAUUUAGUUUGAAUUACAUAACAUGGGACAUGACUCAUGAGUGUAUUGGACAUGGAGUAAGACUAGAUAUGGAUAUAUACUUCAUUUUCAUAAAACCUUCGAAACUUGUCAUGGUCUUAGGUUACCUUACACCUCAAAAACUUCCUUCAAGGCAUGUUUCAUACCUAAUAUUUGCCUUGUAAGAUAUUUCUAAUGGUGUGAGUUCUUGAAACACAAAUCAAUACCUUUUACCUUCAAUAAGACGAAACUUACCACUCUCAUCACUUUUCAAUUAUAAUUCUGACAUGAGCACAUCUAAUUACAAAGUGUUGUGUCGUAUCUAGAAAGUUUCCGGAAAAGGCAUGCAUGGCUUUGUCUAAACACACUGGAAAAAAACACUUUAAAAAGCAUAUACAAUAGUGAAUCAACCGCGUCUACCUUCUUUUGGCACAUUCUGUCUAAUAAGAAUUUAAAUUAUUAUACAUUUGAAAGCAUCAGGGAAAAAUAGAAUUACUCUUCUGCUUGAUCCCUUCUAAUGCCCUUCUUCAACUGUAAUCGUCACCUGAUUGUUGGAUACAAUGUAUAUCUUAUUGGAGGAAGAAGAUGAUGUGCUAGAAGCGUGCGUCCUUGUUACAAAAGCUGGUCUAUUAGGUGUUGGAAGGUUAGUACCUUCCCCUCCCAGCAUUAAAAUGACAUCUGACAUAUUAGGACGAUGAUUUGGAUCUUCUUGUACACACAGGAGCGCAAUAUAUAUACACUUUAUUG